UUUGAUGUCAUAAAAACUAUAGGUUGCAUUCGUUGCCGAUAGUGAUUUGGCCUUUUUUUUUUAUUUUGUUAUUAGAAUGGCUGGAAAGAAUUCGGAAGUUUGUCACAGCUGCAGGGUUAAAGGCCAUUUCGUUGACAAUUGCCCAAUAAAAGCGCAGAUGCCCAUGGUGUAACAACGGUUUUCAAAAAUGUUUUAAGAUUGAAAGGAAUAAUUUAAACAAAUGAAAAUUCUUCAACUGUUGCAGUCACAAAUGUGGAUUUUGAGAGUGCUGCAACGUUAAGGAAUCAAGUGGUGAAUCGAGUGACGUUAGCCAUACUGAAAUUGACCAUAUGUCACGCAUGUUCCAAUCUCAAGUUCGACUGAAAGACAAAGAAGAAAUCCACAUAUCCCUAAAUAUGACAAUCCACAAGAAGAAGCGAAAUGAUGAUUAGUAAACAGGAACGAAAAGAGUCGGGGUUAUUAGUACGGGUUGCUUUCUUAUCUAUUUGUGUGUGUUGCUUAGUAGUUUCGGUAUAUGUUAAUGUGUAGCUAUUUCAAUGUGUAAUGGAUAUUGAAGC
rnacentral:lncRNA from 1 species